rnacentral:SRP_RNA from 1 species
CGCUAGGCUUGACCGGGGGGUUGGGCCUCCCCUUGUAGACCCAAACGGUCCUCAGGGGCGGUGACAGCCAGGGGCGGCGUCCCCGUCCGGUGCUGGUCUGGAGGCUGACGUUGAGGUCCUGUCCCGCGGGGCUGGAGGUGGUACGGGCCGCAGCUGGAGAGCGGCGGCGCGUUCCUCAGUCGCGGGGACCGGGUCAGGCACGGAAGUGAGCAGCCUCACCGCGGACGACCAACGCUUGCGGGGGUGCGGGGCCGAGGAGGCCUCCAGGUUCCCCAGCGUUCGGGCGAGGCGUCCACCCUGGUGGCCUAGCU